rnacentral:rRNA from 1 species
GACGAACGCUGGCGGCGUGCCUAAUACAUGCAAGUCGAACGGAGUGGCGGACGGGUGAGUAACACGUGGGAACGUGCCCUUUGGUUCGGAACAACUCAGGGAAACUUGAGCUAAUACCGGAUGCCAUUGGAGCGGCCCGCGUCUGAUUAGCUAGUUGGUGAGGUAAAGGCUCACCAAGGCGACUAUCAGUAGCUGGUCUGAGAUGAUGAUCAGCCACAUUGGGACUGAGACACGGCCCAAACUCCUACGGGAGGCAGCAGUGGGGAAUCUUGCGCAAUGGGCGAAAGCCUGACGCAGCCAUGCCGCGUGAAUGAUGAAGGUCUUAGGAUUGUAAAAUUCUUUCACCGGGGACGCGGUACCCGGAGAAGAAGCCCCGGCUAACUUCGUGCCAGCAGCCGCGGUAAUAC